rnacentral:rRNA from 1 species
GAGUUUGAUCAUGGCUCAGAUUGAACGCUGGCGGCAGGCCUAACACAUGCAAGUCGAACGGUAACAGAAAGAAGCUUGCUUCUUUGCUGACGAGUGGCGGACGGGUGAGUAAUGUCUGGGAAACUGCCUGAUGGAGGGGGAUAACUACUGGAAACGGUAGCUAAUACCGCAUAACGUCGCAAGACCAAAGAGGGGGACCUUCGGGCCUCUUGCCAUCGGAUGUGCCCAGAUGGGAUUAGCUUGUUGGUGGGGUAACGGCUCACCAAGGCGACGAUCCCUAGCUGGUCUGAGAGGAUGACCAGCCACACUGGAACUGAGACACGGUCCAGACUCCUACGGGAGGCAGCAGUGGGGAAUAUUGCACAAUGGGCGCAAGCCUGAUGCAGCCAUGCCGCGUGUAUGAAGAAGGCCUUCGGGUUGUAAAGUACUUUCAGCGGGGAGGAAGGGAGUAAAGUUAAUACCUUUGCUCAUUGACGUUACCCGCAGAAGAAGCACCGGCUAACUCCGUGCCAGCAGCCGCGGUAAUACGGAGGGUGCAAGCGUUAAUCGGAAUUACUGGGCGUAAAGCGCACGCAGGCGGUUUGUUAAGUCAGAUGUGAAAUCCCCGGGCUCAACCUGGGAACUGCAUCUGAUACUGGCAAGCUUGAGUCUCGUAGAGGGGGGUAGAAUUCCAGGUGUAGCGGUGAAAUGCGUAGAGAUCUGGAGGAAUACCGGUGGCGAAGGCGGCCCCCUGGACGAAGACUGACGCUCAGGUGCGAAAGCGUGGGGAGCAAACAGGAUUAGAUACCCUGGUAGUCCACGCCGUAAACGAUGUCGACUUGGAGGUUGUGCCCUUGAGGCGUGGCUUCCGGAGCUAACGCGUUAAGUCGACCGCCUGGGGAGUACGGCCGCAAGGUUAAAACUCAAAUGAAUUGACGGGGGCCCGCACAAGCGGUGGAGCAUGUGGUUUAAUUCGAUGCAACGCGAAGAACCUUACCUGGUCUUGACAUCCACGGAAGUUUUCAGAGAUGAGAAUGUGCCUUCGGGAACCGUGAGACAGGUGCUGCAUGGCUGUCGUCAGCUCGUGUUGUGAAAUGUUGGGUUAAGUCCCGCAACGAGCGCAACCCUUAUCCUUUGUUGCCAGCGGUCCGGCCGGGAACUCAAAGGAGACUGCCAGUGAUAAACUGGAGGAAGGUGGGGAUGACGUCAAGUCAUCAUGGCCCUUACGACCAGGGCUACACACGUGCUACAAUGGCGCAUACAAAGAGAAGCGACCUCGCGAGAGCAAGCGGACCUCAUAAAGUGCGUCGUAGUCCGGAUUGGAGUCUGCAACUCGACUCCAUGAAGUCGGAAUCGCUAGUAAUCGUGGAUCAGAAUGCCACGGUGAAUACGUUCCCGGGCCUUGUACACACCGCCCGUCACACCAUGGGAGUGGGUUGCAAAAGAAGUAGGUAGCUUAACCUUCGGGAGGGCGCUUACCACUUUGUGAUUCAUGACUGGGGUGAAGUCGUAACAAGGUAACCGUAGGGGAACCUGCGGUUGGAUCACC